GUUGGUGCCGAUAGUGCCGGUGUUACACCCGUUCCCAUCUCGAACACGGAAGUUAAGCCCGGCAGCGACGAAGAUACUUGGCUGGAAACGGUCUGGGAAAAUAGUGGGGUGCCGAUU
rnacentral:rRNA from 1 species